GUGCUCACUUUGGCAACACAUUUACUAAAACUGGAAUGAUACCGAGAUUAGCAUGGCGCCUGUGCAAGGGUGACAUGCAAAUUCAUGAAGUUUUCCAUAUUGCU